rnacentral:rRNA from 1 species
ACUCCUACGGGAGGCAGCAGUAGGGAAUCUUCCACAAUGGGCGCAAGCCUGAUGGAGCAACACCGCGUGAGUGAAGAAGGGUUUCGGCUCGUAAAGCUCUGUUGUUAAAGAAGAACACGUAUGAGAGUAACUGUUCAUACGUUGACGGUAUUUAACCAGAAAGUCACGGCUAACUACGUGCCAGCAGCCGCGGUAAUACGUAGGUGACAAGCGUUAUCCGGAUUUAUUGGGCGUAAAGAGAGUGCAGGCGGUUUUCUAAGUCUGAUGUGAAAGCCUUCGGCUUAACCGGAGAAGUGCAUCGGAAACUGGAUAACUUGAGUGCAGAAGAGGGUAGUGGAACUCCAUGUGUAGCGGUGGAAUGCGUAGAUAUAUGGAAGAACACCAGUGGCGAAGGCGGCUACCUGGUCUGCAACUGACGCUGAGACUCGAAAGCAUGGGUAGCGAACAGGAUUAGAUACCCUGGUAGGAUAGCG